CCGGUGCGUUGCACGGCCUUAUUUUAACAGUUUGGAUCUAUUUUAUUUUAAUUUCCAAUUUUUGUUGGGCUAUUAUAUCAGUUUAUUAAAAAGAAAAAUUAAAAAGUACCAGAAACAGCCAACAAAUUUCUUAGAGAUAUCAGAAUAAUAGCCGACUCUUUUUUCAGCUCAUUCACAAAAAAUAAUGUCUUCGAGUUCUCUUUUUUCUGAUUGUUCAUCCUAUAAUUUGCGUUAAUAUCCUCACCAAAUCGUGUUAAUCUUCUCAUAUGAUUCCUGUCUCUUCAAUUUCGGUGUCUCCGUCUCCGAUCUCCGUCUCCUCCGUCUCCAUCUCCGAUCGCAAAAAUAGAGUUAAGUUUUCGGAAAUUUAUUCUUUUCAAGAUGUUUGUCUUUUUCUGAUGAUGGAAAUGUCGGGUAAUGGUCAAGGAAAUUUUGAAAAUUUGGGUUUUACCAAGUGAUUAGCUUUUAUAUGCUUCUUCAAUUUAGGUUCCAAAUGAAUUAACUCAUUGGUCGUAGAGACAAUAGGCUAUUGUCUAUUUCGAGUCAAUACCCUUUUGAUCGCUCAAAUGGCAAAUUGAUAUUGUUUAUUACAUUGGCAAGCGACUGCUUUGAAACCAUGUGUUGCUCUCAAAAGAUGGA